AAUAAACCAAAUUUUCACUUUUUACCUUUAAUUUUUGACUCAAGUCUUAUUCAAAAAUUUUUUACGAUUGAUAUUUUUAUUUUUAUUAGAUGAUAAAUUAUGAAUAAUACUUUACCUGUGGCUAAUUUUUUCUAAUUUUUUGAAAAUUUUUCAAAUAAGACGGAUGGCAAACGUUGGACACAGAAACU
rnacentral:pre_miRNA from 1 species